rnacentral:rRNA from 1 species
GUACCUACGGGAGGCAGCAGUGAGGAAUAUUGGUCAAUGGGCGGGAGCCUGAACCAGCCAAGCCGCGUGAAGGAAGGAGGCGCCAGGCGUCGUAAACUUCUUUUGUCGGGGAACAAAGGGCGCCACGCGUGGCGUUGUGAGUGUACCCGAAGAAAAAGCAUCGGCUAACUCCGUGCCAGCAGCCGCGGUAAUACGGAGGAUGCGAGCGUUAUCCGGAUUUAUUGGGUUUAAAGGGUGCGUAGGCGGGCUGUUAAGUCAGCGGUCAAAUGUCGGGGCUCAACCCCGGCCUGCCGUUGAAACUGGCG